GAGAGUCCGGAGGCGCUGAAGGGAGGGUCGCAGCGCCGUGACUUUCGCUUUACUAGGAAUGGAGGCACAUUGUUUUCAAAAUAAAGAUUACAUUAUACUAGCAAAGAUUAGAAAUGUGAGCAUAUGAUAGUCUUUUUUAUGGACUUAGAGCUAAAGGUUUGCAAGUCACUUUUACUUUUCUGGUCUCCCAAUCCUUGCGGCGUUUGUGAGGUGGGUGUGGCUCUAUGCCCCCUUUAACUGUGAGCUAAAUAAAGAUAAAGCUUAGAAUCGAAAUGGCAGACCGGGAAUAUAAACUAUUUUUCUUACUUAAUUUCUAACAGGGUGCUUUCCCUUUGGAUAGCGAUUGGUAGUUACCCGGGACCUCUAAGCCUAUAAUAAUAGAGACAAAGUCAAAGGAAUCCAACUCUUAAAACCCUCACACCCCCCACACCUGAAAAACCCUGACAGUCACCGUGCUUUUUUUAACAGCAGAACUUCUAAGGUUCUUAAUUCAUUCAAUAAGGGUUAACUUUUAGUAGCCUGUGAAGUUUUGGCAAUUUGACUUACGAUACAAUAAUGGUUUAGCCCAUUAUUGUUUCUCGCCAGAUAGAAUUAAAUUGGGGGAAUGAAAGAAUGCUCCAGUGUGGCGUAGUUUUUAAGCUUGGAAACACCUAGUUUGGCUGAAAGGUCAAUGAUGCCAGAAAUAUCAUCCUCCUUCUGGAAGAAGCCUGGCCAAGUGAGAGAAAGACCCAGUUUUCUUAGAGUAAAAAUUACUGUAUCCAGUUUUCCGGGCCGGAAAAACAAAUAAAAUUGGGGGUAAAAAACUUAAAUAUCAAUUGUCUGCUUCUUUCCCUCCUACUAAAAGAAAUAUGACAGUACAACAAAGCAACCUUCCAUUUCACUGUGUUCCACUUUCCCUUAGCUCACCGUGCUGCAACCCAUAUGCUUUCUUGCAGUUCCUUGCCUCAGAAUUUUCACGCACACAUGUCCUCCUCCUGGGAGACUCUUCUUAUUCGGCCUGGGUUACUUACCCAUCCCUAAGGUCUCAGUUUAUAGCCCAUUUCUGUUCAGGGAAGUGUUCCUUUUAAACUCCCUUCUACUACCCUAUGCUUUUUCUUUAUAGCACUUAACACUUCGCACUUAACAGAUACCCACACAAAUAAAUGUAUAAUGUGUCUCACCUUCUAGACUGUAAUCAAAAGCUCCCUAUUUCUUUUAUCCUACACCUAGCCAAGUGUCUGGCACAGCAAGCCUUAACACUCAAUAUUUUUCAGUGAUCAGAUAAAUAAGUAAAUAUUUGUAAUUUUGACUUAACUGAACAGCUGAGAGGCAACAAUGGGAUUCCAUAGGACUUUGUAAUUUUGUGUGAAGCCACUCUUCUGCCCUUCUCCCUACUGCAACUUGCUACCCAUUUAAAUCCUGACUAGUCAUUGUGGUAUUCUUACAGCGGCAAGAAUCAUUAUUCCUUUAGCUGACUCAUUAUGAUUCCAUCAGGAUUCCAACUUCUACAACAUUUUUAGCUGCCAGUCAUUUUUCUUAUGGCAGCCUUAGAUGUCCCUUCCAGGGUACCCAAAGUGUUUUUUAAAAUUGCAGACUACCAUGUUCAACAGAAUUGCCCUCAUGAUGAUGUUUUCAAUAUUUUGUAAUAGUAGGAGUCCACUAUCAUCAUCCAAAAGCGUACAAAAAUGAUGACUUCAUCAUUGCACAUGUAUAAUAUCACUACUUGUGCCAUAUCAUCAUCUUUAGGCAUGUCCUGCCUUGCAGUGUUAGCGACUGAGUUUCUCUUCUUGGUCACAGUAGAUUUUAAAUGAAAAAUAUAUGAAAGGUCCUGGGUUAGGAAGGGCAAAAGAAAAGGAGAAACACGUUUAUUGAGCGCAUAUGUGCCAGAUAGUGUA
rnacentral:lncRNA from 1 species